rnacentral:tRNA from 1 species
GGUAGCGUGGCCGAGCGGUCUAGGGCGCUGGUUUAAGGCACCAGUCUCUUCGGAGGCGUGAGUUCGAAUCCCACCGCUGCCA